UACGUAGGGGGCAAGCGUUAAUCGGAAUUACUGGGCGUAAAGCGUGCGCAGGCGGUUGUGUAAGACAGAUGUGAAAUCCCCGGGCUCAACCUGGGAACCUGCAUUUGUGACUGCACAGCUGGAGUGCGGCAGAGGGGGAUGGAAUUCCGCGUGUAGCAGUGAAAUGCGUAGAUAUGCGGAGGAACACCGAUGGCGAAGGCAAUCCCCUGGGCCUGCACUGACGCUCAUGCACGAAAGCGUGGGGAGCAAACAGGG
rnacentral:rRNA from 1 species